UACAGAGGUCUCAAGCGUUGUUCGGAUUCAUUGGGCGUAAAGGGUGCGUAGGUGGCGCCGUAAGUCAGGUGUGAAAUUUCGGAGCUUAACUCCGAAACUGCAUUUGAUACUGCGGUGCUUGAGGACUGGAGAGGAGACUGGAAUUACGGUGUAGCAGUGAAAUGCGUAGAGAUCGUAAGGAAGACCAGUGGCGAAGGCGGGUCUCUGGG
rnacentral:rRNA from 1 species